GGAAAAAGAGAAAGUAAUGAAAAUAUUGAAAAACAAAAAGAGAACACCUACCUGCUUUUCCACAACUAAGAAAAGCCUUUAUCCCCAUAAUAUCAAUCCUUCUUCUUCUUCUUCUUCUCUUCUUCCUUACAAUUCCCGUUGUU
rnacentral:ribozyme from 12 species